rnacentral:rRNA from 1 species
CCUACGGGAGGCAGCAGUAAGGAAUAUUGGUCAAUGGACGCAAGUCUGAACCAGCCAUGCCGCGUGCAGGGUGAAGGCCCUCUGGGUUGUAAACUGCUUUUAUAGGGGACGAAAAAGGGACUUUCUAGUUCAACUGACGGUACCCUAGGAAUAAGCACCGGCUAACUCCGUGCCAGCAGCCGCGGUAAUACGGAGGGUGCAAGCGUUAUCCGGAUUUACUGGGUUUAAAGGGUGCGUAGGUGGGUCGGUAAGUCAGCGGUGAAAUCUUCGAGCUUAACUCGGAAACUGCCAUUGAUACUAUCGAUCUUGAAUCAUCUGGAGGUAAGCGGAAUAUGUCAUGUAGCGGUGAAAUGCUUAGAUAUGACAUAGAACACCAAUUGCGAAGGCAGCUUACUACGGAUGUAUUGACACUGAGGCACGAAAGCGUGGGGAUCGAAACAGGAUUAGAUACCCUGGUAGUCCACGCCCUAAACGAUGGAUACUCGACAUACGUGAUAUACUAUGUGUGUUNUGAGAGAAGAGAUAAGUAGUACCACCGUGGAGGUAACGUAGUCGCGAGAGUUAGUUAACGUACGAAGAAGUUAGAGGCGNGAGAGNGCGACGGACGACGACGAGGGAGGAGG